rnacentral:lncRNA from 1 species
AUGUACGUAGAUGUUGCUCCUCUGGGUAUUUUCUUUCUAGUUGAAGAAAAAGAGUUUUGGGAGACUAAUGUUUUAAUUAUUAUUAUUUUUAAACCCAUCCCCAUUCCCUCCAAAACGUGGCUAAACCGUAAUGCUACAGGGGAGAAAUUGAAAUGGUGUGUCCUUCCAGCAACAUUUCGCCCUCCUCCUGGUGUUAGAUGGCGUGGAAUGAUGGGAAAUGCAGUCCAACAGCGUCUGGAGGGUCCCAAAGCACUGGGAAGACAACUGUUCGCAUUUUUUAAAUAUGCAUUUCUGGUGUCGGGAAGGCGAAGACCUGCUCUAAGAGCAGAGAUUGAAUCCUUCAAUCCCUCCAGGUUUUGUGGACUGCAAAAAGUUCUCGUCCUUGUCUAUUGCUUGCUGGGGCUGCUGGGAGAUUUAGUCCAACAACAUCUAGAAAGACACCUCCUCUCAACCCAGCCUCCUCCCAAAGGUGUUGUUUCAUUUACACAGAUACCCGUGAAGGCAAGCCAAAGGAAUGGAAGGGAAAAAAGCGUCUGUAUGCUCGUCUUUUAGAGGAUCUUUUAUUUUCUUUCUCGAAAUUCACGCAAACCCACCAGCCUUUUAAAGAAGGAAAUUACUCUGCUUCUUCCAAAACAGCAUCAAUCCUAAAUCAUCAACUCGUUGAAAUAAAAACUACCGCCUCAUCAAGAAUGUGAAAGUUUCUGGUUUCCCUUGAGUUAUGAGCAUUGAACUUUAUUUCCUUUCAUUAGGAUUAUUAAAUUAGGCCGGGCUGAUAAAGUCAGUGGGAUAAAUGUUGAUGUAUUGUCAGGUAUUAGUUUGUGGAUCUGCUCCUCUAACUUCUAACUUAUGAAUUUCUCUUUGCCUGUUGGGUUAUCUAGCAAUUUUAGGGGUUUUGCAUGUGAUGUGGGAAAUGGGAGUAUAUUUCCUGGGGACAUACAGGAAGUGACAUAUGCCUUUAGAAUUUGGGGCAUAAAAUGGGAGACUUUCUUUUGUUUUCUCUCUUUGCUCCUCUUCUUGAUCCUGCCAUGCCUGGUGUUACUUCUUGUUAAGAGAUAUCUAGUAUCCUGAACUGUAUUCUUUUGCAACUAAGAUGUUUUUACCUGUAUAACCAUCAUCGUACAAGAUUGUGAGUAAACAUAUUUUUACUAUUUUACUUUUGAUGUCUCUGAUGCUUAUUUUAUGCACAUGACUCUUUAAAGGGAAAGGGAGGCUGGCUAUUUUUCUUUUUUCUCACCUCUGCUCACAUAAACCCCUAGACUUCUGUAUUUUUGUAACUCUGCACCAAUAUCUAACCAUAUUGGUAUCAUAAUCAUAACAGGUUAUGAAUAUAUUCCUAAUAGGUUAUGAUCAUAUCUUCUAAUAUUGCCCCCCUUUCCCCUAGAAAAUAAAUCCCAUUGGGUUCAGGGAGUUGAUUUAGUCUUGAAUAAAUAGACACAGUUUAGGGCCCUUCCACACAGCUACAUAACUCAGAAUAUCAAGGCAGAAAAUCCCACAAUAUCUGCUUUGAACUGGGUUAUCUGAGUCCACACUGCCAUAUAUUCCAGUUUAAUGUGGAUUUUCUACAGCUGUAUGGAAACGGCCUCUUUGCAGUGCUAGCGGACCUUACUCUUGGGUUAAUCCCAGUCUUUUAAGUUGCAUCUGCACUGUAAAACUAAUGCAGUUUGGUUAGGUACAAGCACACUUUGGCAAAGAAGGCUAAAGACCUUGUAAAACUGCAACUCUCAUGCUUUCAUAGCAUUAAACAAUGGCUGUUAAAGUGGAGUCAAACUGUAUUAGUUCUGCAGUGUUGACACACCACAGCAGUUUUGUCAUUAAAACAAUUUAGCAUUACAAUAUUAAAAUGCAUCAAAAUUGCUCACCCACCCCAAAAUCUCAAUCAAUCUACUUACAUCUCUGUUGAAGUUCUGAGGCUGAAUCUACACUGCCCUAUAUCCCAGGAUCUGAUCCUAGAUUAUCUUCACUGAACUGGAUUAUAUGAGUCUAUACUGCCAGAAAGUCUGAGAUAAGCAGAUAAUCUGGGAUCAGAUCAGGAAAUAUAGGGCAGUGUAGAGCCAUCUGAGGGCCCUUUCAGAUAGGCCCUAUAUCACAGGAUCUGAUCCCAGGUUUUCUGUUUAUCUCAGAUAAUCCAGCAGUGUGGACUCAUAUAAUAAAGUUUAAAGCAGAAAACCUGGGAUCAGAUCCUGGGAUACAGGGCCUGUCUAGAAGGGCCCUGAGUUCCUCAAGAUCCAUUAAGUUCAUGUAGUCUGAUGCCCCUUCUAUACUGCCAUAUAAUCCAGAUUAUCUGAUAUGAACUGGAUUAUAUGAGCCUACACAUUGCCAUAUCAUCCAGCUCAAAGCAGAUAAUCUGGAUUUUAUAUGACAGUGUAGAAGGGUUCAUAAAAGAAUGAGAAAAAUGAUCAAAAUGUGGAUUUUGAUCCUUUAAAAAUAAAUAGAACAUACAGAAUGUGUGUGUGUGUGUGUGUGUGUGUGUGAGAGAGAGAGAGAGAGAGAGAGAGAGAGAGAGAGAGAAAGAGACAUUCUCUUGUUUAUCACAUUUUCAGAAUAUAAUGAAUCUCAUACUUCGACAAACCACUACAGCAGGGCAAGUGAUUUAUAGUCCUUCCAGUGCUGAUAGACUGCAACUCCCAUCAGUCUCAAUUUGGUUAUACAGUAGAGUCUCACUUAUCCAACAUAAAUGGGCCGGCAGAAUGUUGGAUAAGCGAAUAUGUUGGAUAAUAAGGAAGGAUUAAGGAAAAGCCUGUUAAACGUCAAUUUACCUUAUAAUUUUACAAAUUAAGCACCAAAAUAUCAUGUCGUACAACAAAUUUGACAGAAAAAGUAGUUCAAUACGCAGUAAUGCUAUGUUGCAAUUACUGUAUUUACGAAUUUAACAUCAAAAUAUCACGAUGUUUUGAAAACAUUGACUACAAAAAUGUGUUGGAUAAUCCAGAACGUUGGAUAAGCGAGUGUUGGAUAAGUGAAACUCUACUGUAAUUGCAUGGCCAUUGCAGUCUAAUGGUAGAAAGAAGGUCAUAGGUUCUGUCAACCUCCACUUUAAAGAAAGUUGUAGGAAACACAGUGAGAAGGGAGGUGAUACCUUGCAUGAUAGGCCUCCUCUUGGUAAUAGUAUAAGAUCACCAUAACCACUAGCCUUAUAUUCAAUGAAUUUAUCUAAUCCUCUUUCAAUAUUUUCCAAAACUAGUCUCUGUUCUUAGAUCUUGUGGCAAGCAGUUUCUGGGGAUAAUAUUUAACUGGGAGUAGGUUCCUACUGAAUGCAAUGGGACAUACCUUUUAGUAGACAUACUUAGUGGCCAAACACAAAUCAAGGAACAUGAAAGGUACUGUAGACUAAUUCAACCAGAGAAGUCAGCCAUAGCAGAGCACUUGAUGAACCAACCUGGACACAGAAUAUUAUUUGAGAAUACAGUAAUGUUGGACCACUCUAACAACCACCAUGUCAGACUACACAGAGAAGCCAUUGAAAUUGACAAGCAUGUCAACACUUUCAACAGAAAGGAUGAAAACAUGAAAAUGGACAAAAUCUGGCUACCAGUAUUUAAAAAACUAUAAAAUCAGGACAGUAAAUAAAGAACAACACUCAGAAAAUGGGAAUUCCAGACAUGAAUUAAACAGGGCCAGUUACCUCCCAACAAAGGAUUCUCCCAGGCAGGAAGCAGUCAGAGUUUGACGCUGCAAGGCUAUUCAAUGAUAAUCAAAGUGACCAGUUGUAACAUUCCCACUUGCCUCAAACAGACAAGACUUCUUUCUCCCGCCCUGGACAUUCCACAGAUAUAUCAGCCCCACUUGCCUAGUUUCCAACAGAUCUCACAAGUUCUGAGGAUGCCUGCCAUAGAUGUGGGUGAAAUAUCAGGAGAGAAUGCAUCUGGAACAUGGCCAUACAGCCUGGAAAACCCACAGCAACCCAUACAUAGGACUGUUAUACAAACUGAACUGUGAAAUGUACCACAUAGAGUUGUAUAUUUAUUCUCCCUUGUCUGUCCAAAAUUUGCCAGCAUUGAGUUUCCUUGCAUAGUCAGGGUAUAGACUGUCCCAUAAUAAAAAGAAAAGAAAAAAAGUCUCCAUCCACAUUCUCCACAAAAUUAUACAACACCGUUAUCAUAUCUUCUAUUACUUGAACUUUAGGGCAAAAAAAGUUCUUCAUCAUUAUAAUCUCUCCAAAACACAACUUGAAUCCUCACCAUUUUAACAGCUUGGUUUUGCUGUCUUUUAUUCUGUACACACCUAUCAAGAUUCUGCCUAUAUAAAUUUAAUAAAGAAACAGCCCCAAUAAAUAAUAACUUUGGUUAUCAAUUAAGGGGACUAUGUGCAUCUCUUUUGUCAAACUUCUGAUAUUUCUCACUCUUGGAUUUGAGCUAGCUGAAUACAAAUGAAAUGUGUCAAACCCAAAUAUACAUGGAAUCCCAUGUUGACAUUCCAUAGGUUUCUUUUAGCUCUUUGCUAGUGGGAGGGGAAUCCCUGAGGGUAUAUUUCCGGAUCAGCCACUAUUUAGCAUGGGUCUGACAACAGAGACCUCCUCAGGCAACAUGGCAAGGUGGUGGUCAAGUAGGAAGUAUGGUAAAAUAGGUGAUGAUAGAACUUAUGCCAUUAGGGAAAGCAAAAAUGCAAGUUAUUCCACAGCACACUCAGCAUGGAUUAAAAUGCAUUUUGUGUCAUGAUCCUUGUUCAGUCAAGUCACCGAUUGUGGAUGUCUUUUUCUUCUUAUUUAUCCAGAUUAAAGAACAACAGCUUAUUUUUUCUGCUUCUCUCCUCUAAUAAAAUCAUCUGUACGUUUAGUUUUACCACAAAUUGAGCAAUCCUGAGUAUUUUAAACAAAAUUAGACCCCAGGAUUGAUUCUCUUCUAGCUAAGCAGGGUCAGCCUUUAUAAGUACUUGCAUGAGAGAUUAAUUUCAAGCUGUAUUUUAGUAGAAGGAACUGGCAAAACUGAGAAUUUCUUGCUUUAAAAAAACCUAUAAAAUUCAAGGGGGGCCCUGCCUAAUUCUACUACCACAUAUAUGAAUGUGGUUGUAG